ACUAGAUGGGCCGAAUGGUUCUUAUCUGCCAUCACAUUCUAUGUUUCUAUGUUUCUAUGUAUACAAAUUCCUCCCAAGUUUAGCUUACUGACAGUACCAAUGGACUUUUAGGCCUCAUGGUUUAGUGUCCUCUGGUUUUAAACAAAUAUAGACUUUCCAGGCAUUUUCCUUAGUAAAGUAAGUUCUAUCAACUCAUUAAUGGUUUACCUUAGAAUCUCUUUUCUGCUUUUGGUUGGCAGAGAAUCGUGACUAACAAAGUCCCUACUCACAGGUUUUUGAGUGCCAAAGGCUACUUACUGCACUAUAACAUUAAUCCCAAACAAAGACUGUAUUAAAACAUGUCCC